rnacentral:rRNA from 1 species
UACGUAGGUGGCAAGCGUUGUCCGGAUUUACUGGGCGUAAAGAGCGCGCAGGCGGUUGUUUUAAGUCGAAUGUGAAAGACCCCGGCUCAACUGGGGAGGGUCGUGCGAUACGGUCGGACUGGAGGCCAGUAGGGGGAUGCGGAAUUCCGGGGUGUAGUGGUGGAAUGCGUAGAGAUCCGGAGGAACACCAGCGGCGAAGGCGGGUCUCUGGGCAGUAACUGACGCUGAGGAGCGAAAGCGUGGGGAGCGAACAGG